rnacentral:rRNA from 1 species
GAUGAACGCUGGCGGCGUGCCUAAUACAUGCAAGUCGAGCGAACGGACGAGAAGCUUGCUUCUCUGAUGUUAGCGGCGGACGGGUGAGUAAAAGGUGAAUAACCUACCUAUAAGCCUGGGAUAACUUCGGGAAACCGGAGCUAAAACAGGAUAAACUUUUAAACCGAAUGGUUCAAAAGUGAAAGACGGUCUUGCUGUCACUUAUCGAUGGAUCCGCGCUGCAUUAGCUAGUUGGUAAGGUAACGGCUUACCAAGGCAACGAUGCAUAGCCGACCUGAGAGGGUGAUCGGCCACACUGGAACUGAGACACGGUCCAGACUCCUACGGGAGGCAGCAGUAGGGAAUCUUCCGCAAUGGGCGAAAGCCUGACGGAGCAACGCCGCGUGAGUGAUGAAGGUCUUCGGAUCGUAAAACUCUGUUAUUAGGGAAGAACAUAUGUGUAAGUAACUGUGCACAUCUUGACGGUACCUAAUCAGAAAGCCACGGCUAACUACGUG